rnacentral:lncRNA from 1 species
GUCGCUCCCCGCCGGCUGCCGUUAGGGCUGGGAGCCGGCUGGGCGCGGGGGUAGUGAGGGUGCCUCUCGCCGUGGCUGCGCGGCGGCCUCGUCCGAGAGGCCGGCGCCGGGGCAGUGACCGGCCCGUGCCCAGCCGCCGCGCAGGGCGCCCGGGGCAGCUGGCCGAGCCCUCGAUGCCUCCCGUCUGACGGAGGCGCCCGGGAAGCGCCGCCCACCUCGGCCCCGCACCCUCGCCGGCCUGCCGGGUCUCCGCCAGCCCUAGCAGACAGAGAGGGGCGCCGGUCCCUAGUCCCCCAGACCUCCAUUCAAGGUCAAAACUUUGCCCAGCUCAGCCUUGCUCGACCCUGGGCAGGGAAGCGCGGACAUCGGCAGAGGGAGCCCGAGGCUCUCCGUGCCCUUCGCGCCGCUCCCCAAGGAUGGAUAACACUAACAUAUAGUCAGUGGGAAAGAAAUCUCAGAAAAUAACUGUUAGUUUGUCACUGUCAUGGGAAAUGGGAAGGAAGAAAAACAGCACUUAUCAAGCAUCUUCUGUGUACAAACUGCCAUUUCAGACUCAGAGCAGUCCUUGAAGGUCAAGAACUGUGGAAUCUUUCAGAUGAUAUUCUGAUACUUCUGGACCAAGAUUGAAUUUGUUCUUCAUGAAAAAUGUCUGGGACCUUUUAUAUGGACGGGGAAUACCAACGUAGAGAUGGUCAAGAAAAUUUGCGCUCCGACCUAAACCAAGCACGUUGUAUGGUAGUUGGAGAGCUAAAUGUGCGGAUUGGCUGAGUUGGCCAGCUAGAGUUAUUCAAUUAAAAAAAAAUUAAAAACAUCUCUGGAAACAUUGCUCCCAUCAAAUAUUAAAAUGAUAAAAUGUUAAAAAUUUAGGUACUGGAAUGUAUCACGUUUCAAAAUGUGAAAUGAAAGAUACAGGUCAUUAAUAUUAAUGAUUCACUUUUUUCUUUUUUUGAGACAUGGUCUCACUCUGCCACCUAGGCUGCAGUGCAGUAGCACUGCACUGAGCCUUGACCUCUCAGGCUCAAGCUAUCCUCCUUCCGAGCCUCCCAAGUAGCUGAGACCACAGGCAUGUGCCACCAGGCUCGGCUAAUUUUUAAAUAUUUGUGGAGACGGGGUCUUACUAUGUUGCCCGGCCUUGAACUCCUGGGCUCAAGUGAUCCCCCUGCCUCGGGCUCUCAAAAUGCUGGGAUUACAGGCGUGACCCACCGUGCUCAGCCAAUGAUUCACUUUUUAAAGAAAACAGCGUUACUGAGAUAUAAUUCACAUACCAUACACAUCACCCGUUUAAAGUGUACAGUUAAGUGGUUUUGAGUAUAUUCAAAGAAUUGUUCAGCCAUCACCACAAUCUAAUCUUAGAACAUUUUUAUCACUUGAGAAAGAAACUCCAUACACAUGAGAAGCCAUGUCUGUUUCCAACCUGCACACUUCCAGCUGUAUGUAAUCACUAAUCUGCUUUCUGACUCAAUAGAUUUGCCUAUUCUGAAGAUUUCAUAUAAAUGCAAUCAUACAAUGUGGUCUUUUGUGACUGGCUUCUUUCACUUAGCAUGUUUUCAAGGUUCAUCUAUAUGGUAGCAUGUUUCCAUACUUUAUUACUGUUACUUGCCAAAUAAUACUCCACUUUGUUAUAUAUACAUUUUGUUUCAUUAAUUAAUUUCAUUAAUUGAUGGACAUUUCAGUCAUUUCCAUUUUUGGUUACUAUGAAAAUACUGCUGUGAACAUUCAUAUACAGGUUUAUUUUUGUAUUCACUCUUGUUUUCCUUUCUUUUGAUUAUGUAGCUAAGUGUUUAACAUCAUUAGGAACUAUCGAACUGUUUCCAAAGUACCUGCACCAUUUUAUGUUCCCACCAGCAAUGGAUAAUGGUUCAAAUUUUUCCACAUCCUCAAUAACACUUUUUGUUGUGUCUUUUGUAUUAUAGCCAUGCUCAUGGUUGUGAAGUGGUAUCUCAUUAUGGUUUUUACUUGCAUUUCCCAAAUGACUAAUAGUUAUUAGCCAUGAAAAUGGUCAAUAAACACGUGAAAGAAGCUCAACUACACACACACACACACACACACACACACACACACACACAUACACACACACACACACCAAUUAAGUAAAGCAUCUGGCCCUGUAGGCACAUUUUCUGUUGUCUUUUUAUUUUUUUAAAGAGAUGUGUAUUAGCCUACUUUCCUGUUUCUUUGUAUGUCUUAUAAUUUUUGUUGAAAACUGGACUUUUAAGAUAAUAUUGAUAACUCUGGUAUCGCUUAACCCCACCCAAGGGUUUGUUGUUUUGUUACUGUUUAUUUGUUUAGUGACUUUUUUUUUUUUUUCAUGUAGUGAAUUCUGUGGAUUCUGUAUUCCCUGCAGCAGUUGCCCCAGGGUCUUUUUAAUUUUUAUUUUUAAAGUUUUUAUUCUACAUCUGGCUUCCUACUUGGCAUACCUGGGUCAGUAUUAUUUAGUGGUCAGCCAGUGAUUUGUUGUAAGAUUUCCCUAAAUCUCUUGCCUGUACAUCUCCCACCCUUUGUCAAAGUGAUUUGUGUGUGAAGGCAUGCCUUCAAAGUUCAGAAAAUGACAGCCUUAGUUUUCAUUUCCUGCUUACGCAGGGCUUCAUGGUGAAGCAGAAGGGAGCUGAUUAUUUGAAUGAGGUGUUUUCCUUUCUAGGAAUUUGCAAAGUCUUCUAGAUCCCCAAAAAUAUGUUGUAGCUUUUCAAAGCUGCGUAUGUUUUCCAGUUUUCUAAGAAUUCCUCUUAUAUUUUGAUCAGGAUCUUGUUUCCUCCACCUUUAAUCACAUGCUUAGGUAGCUGAGAUGUUGCCAGCAGAUUACUGUUGUUUUUGGUAAUGCCCUAGUCAAAUGAAAUAGCCAAGAUGCUGAGAAUGAAGAUUUUCCAGGGAGCUGCUAGUUCAGACAAAAUGUUGAUAGUAAUAGGGAUGGAGAUUUUCAUGCAGCUCCAAGGAGGUCAGUCAUAUCCAUUGGCUGUGAAGCCGCUGGCUUUCCAUGGCUACUGCACUACUCAGUUGAGAAGGGGGGCAGGAUGGGAAUUGCUCCAAGAUAAAAAUGCCAUAGAUUCGGUGUCUUAUCAAGGAUCAGUAGUUUUCCUUAGAAUAGACAAUACUCAGUCCAUUCUGUGGCUUUGGUUAAUUUCCAGAGUUCUGAAAUGGUGGAUAUUAUAUGGUUGGCCAGUAUUUUUGUUGUUGUUCUUUUUGGGGGCUCUGGGAGAGCAAGUUCAUGUGGUCCUCACACUGCCAUUCCAAUAGUCAAUCUUUCCCUAUUGUAAUUCACUUUUAUACAAUAUAUGUAUUUUCUAGGUAUUUUUCUACAUGCUUAAACUUAACAUUUAAAUGACAAAGUUAAUUAAUAUAUAAAUAUUUUAAUAUUCAAGGGGACUCUGCUAAACAUCACUAAUGUUAUCCAAAAAUAUGCAAUCACUGGAAAGUAUAUUUACCUGAUUAUUUAUAUAGUUCUUAAGUUGGAAACAGUAAGGUAUAAUGAAAAGGAACAUGAAUUUAAGGAUAGGCAUUAACAAUGUGUAUGAAACUGGAAAACAGUAUAGUGAACAGCAUGGGCUGCAGAAUUAGUCCACCUUGUGGAAUUGAGCUGAUUGAAAGAUAAUGUUUAAAAGUAGAGUAUCUCACAUAGUAAAUAAUAAUGUUAGCUAUCUUUAUUAAGAUAAAAUUUAUUCUUACAGAGUUGAAUUAAAAAUUAAAAGCAGGCCAUUUAUGCCUGUCAUCCCAGCACUCUGGGAGGCCAAGGCAGGUGGAUUGCUUGAGCUCAGGACUUUUCAGACCAGCCUGGGCAAUGUGGUGAAGCCCCACCUCUACAAAAAAUACAAAAAUUAGCCAGGCAUGGUGGCAUGUGCCUGUAGUCCCAGUUACCUGGGAGUUGACCUGGGAGAAUCACCUGAGCCCAGGGAGGUUGAGGCUGUAGUGAGCUGUGAUUGUACCACUGCACUCCAGCCUGGGAGAUAGAGUAAGACCCUGUCUCAAAAACAAACAAACAAACAAACCCAAAAUUAAACACAAGCUGAUUUCAUGACACUACUAGCAAAGACUGACUUAACAGAAGUAAACCAAAAAUAAAACUCUAACUGAUGGACCCUCCCCUCAGGCAUUCAAAAGUUAACCUGAAAAAGUAGUUCAGGCCAUGACCGGAAGUGAGGGUCAGAUAUGCCUCAUUAUAUGCUCCUUUCUUUUGGAAUUCAGGCACAGCUGACCAGCAUUAACAUCAAUACAAAGCCCUUAAGACUGAUAGAACAGACUCUUUAAGUCUGAGAAGAAGCAUUUAUAAUCUACUGUCACUGAAGCCUGCUACCUGGAGACUUCAUCUUCAUGAUAAAACCUUGGUCUCCACAACCCCUUAUGUUAAAAGACUUAUUUUGUCUACAUGACAUCAAACUAGGCUUCUGUUUUCCUGUUUAUACUAUUAAAAUUGCCUAUGCAAUAAGCAAGCUUAAAAGUAUAAGGAGAAUAAUCUAAGUAAAAUUAUCCAACAACUUAAAAUGAAGAGAUAAUCAUUAUUACAUUUUAGCAUACUUUUAGUCACAUACUUUUUUUCUCCAAGGCAAGUGCAUGCAUAAAUAAACACAUUUUAGCAUAGUUUAGUAUUAUUUUCACUCAGUAUUAUUUAUGAGUAUUUAGUCAUCAUGAAAAUUCUUGAAAAAUAAAUAAGCAGAGAGAAAAAUGAUGGAAACACCAAAAUCCCAUUAAGAGAAAGCCAAAGGAAACAGCGUAAAAGACAUGUAUUAUUAUGUAUACUUCUAAAAUUAUUUUUCUAAAGUGGUAUCUACACAGACAUUACAAAAAUAUAAUUUUCCUGCCUAUAUCUUAUUUAAAAAUUAAUUCCAUAUUGUUGGAGGUAAAGGAAUUUUCCUAAUCCUUCACUAUUAAAAAAAGAAUGCUUUAGUUUGCACCCAAAUUAGUUUGCACCCAAAUUAGUUUCUUUCAUUCCUAGAUACAGAAUACUGGAUCAAAGAGUAGUAAGUUUAGAACUUAUUCUUGAAUAUAGAAACCUUGUUUCCUAAGGAGAGGGUUGCAUCACUUUACAUUUCCAUUAGCUUUCAAUGAAAGCAUCCAUUUCAGUCCAUUCUUAUUUUCUAAUUGAGCUGAAAUUCACAUAGCAUACAAUUAACUACUUUAGAGUGUAGAAUCAAAUGGCCUUUAGUGUAUUUGCAAUGUUGUGCAACUAUCAAUUCUCUCUUGUUUGCAAACUUUUUCAUCACCCUAUAACAACACCCUGUACUCCCCCAGUAACCUCUAAUCUGCUUUCAUUCUCUAUGGAUUUGUCUACUCUAGAUACCUCAUAUAGAAGGUACCAUACAUGUGACCAACUGUGUCUGGCUUCUUUCACUUAGCAUAAUGUUUUCAAGGGUCAUAUAAGUUAUAGUAAGUAUCAGUACUGUCAGGCCUCUGAGCCCAAGCCAAGCCACUGCAUCCCCUGUAACUUGCACAUAUACGCCCAGAUGGCCUGAAGUAACGGAAGAAUCACAAAAGUAGUGAAUAUGCCCUGCCCUGCCUUAACUGAUGACAUUCCACCACAAAAGAAGUGUAAAUGGCCGGUCCUUGCCUUAACUGGUGAUAUUCCACCACAAAAGAAGUAAAAAUGGCCGGUCCUUGCCUUAAGUGAUGACAUUACCUUGUGAAAGUCCUUUUCCUGGCUCAAAAACCUCCCCCACUGAGCACCUUGCGACCCCCACUCCUGCCCGCCAGAGAACAAACCCCCUUGACUGUAAUUUUCCUUUACCUACCCAAAGCUUAUAAAACGGCCCCACCCUUAUCUCCCUUUGCUGACUCUCUUUUCAGACUCAGCCUGCCUGCACCCAGGUGAUUAAAAGCUUUAUUGCUCACACAAAGCGUGUUUGGUGGUCUCUUUACACGGACGCGCAUGAAAAGUACUUCAUCUCUUUUUAUGGAAAAAUAAUAUUCCAUUUUAUGUAUACACUUUGAUUUGUUUAUCCAUCCAGCUGUUGAUGGCCAUUUGGGUUGUUUAGUACCUUUUGGCUAUUAUGAACUAUUUGGCUAUUAUUGCUGCUAUGAAUAUGGAUGUACAAAUACCUCUUUGAGACCCUGCUUUCCGUUCUUUUGAGUAUAUAUUAGAAAUUCUGGAUCAUAUGGUGAUUCUAGGUUUAAUUUUUUGAGGAACUGCCAUAUUGUUUUUCACAGCAGCUGCACCAUUUUACAUUCCCACCAGCAAUGUAUGAGGGUUCCUAUUUUUCACAGCCUUGCUGACAUGUCAUUUUCAGUCUUUUAAAUUAAAACCAUCUUAGUGGUUCUGAAGUGGUAACUCAGUCUGGUUUUGACUUGCAUUUCCUUCAUGACCAAUUAUGUAGGACAUCUUUUUCUGUGCUUAUUGGCUACUUUGGAAUUCUUUGGAGAAAUGUCUAGUCCUUUGUCAAUUUUAUAAUUGGGCUUUUUUUUGUUGUUGAAUUGUAAACAUUCUUUUUAUAGUCUGGAUACUAGAACUUUAUCAGAGAUAAGAUUUGCAAAUAUUUUCUCCCUUUUCAGUUUGUUGAAAAGAAAAAAGACUUUUCUUUUGAGACAGGCUCUUGCUCUGUCACCCAGGCUGGAGUGCAGCGGCACAAUCAUGGCUCAUUGCAGCCUCGAUCUCCUGGGCUCCAGUGAUCCCAGCUCAGCUUCCCAAGUAGCUUGGGAGCACAGGCCUGUGCCACUGCCUCUGGCUAAUUAAAAGUUUUUUUUUUUUUUUUUUUUUUUCUAGAGACAAGGUCUCACUAUAUUGCCCAUGCUGGUCUCAAAUUCCUGGGCUCAAGCAAGCCUUAUGCUGUGGCCUCCCAAAGUUCUGGGAUUACAGGCAUGAGCCACUGCACCUGGCUGAAAAUGUUUUUUAAUGCAAAAAAGCUUUACAUUUUUGCAGAAUCUAAUCUAUUUUUAAAUUUUGUUACUAGUGCUUUUGGUGUCAAAUCUAACAAUCCAUUGUCAAAUCUGAGGAAAUGCAGAUCUACUUCUAUGUUUGCUUCUAAGAAUUUUGCAAUCUUACCCCUUACAUUGAGGUCCUUGAUCCAUGAGUUAAUUAUUAUAUAUGAGUUAAUUAUUUUAUAUGGAGUCCCACUUCAUUUUUUUUUACAUGUCAUUAUACAAAUGUUCUAGUAUGAUUUGUUGAAGGUACUCUUCUUUCUCCAUUGAAUGGUUGUGGUACUCCUGUCAAAAAUUAAUUUGCCAUAGAUAUUUGGAUUUAUUUAUGGGCUCUCAAUUCUAUUCCAUUGGUUUAUAUGUCUGUCUUUUUGCCAGCACUAUGCUUGUUGAUUACUGUAGCUUUGUAGUAACUUUUGAAUUUGGAAAGUGUAAGUCCUCUCAGCUUUGCUUUUGUUUUUCAAUAUUGUUUUGGCUUUUUGAGGCCCCUUACAGUUCCGUAUCAAUUUGAAGGUUGGCUUUUUAUUUCUGCAAACAGACCACUUGAAUCUGUAGAUUGUUUUGGGGAAUAUUGCUAUCUUAAAGUUUUCCAAUCCAUGAAUAUGGGAUGUCUUUCCAUUUAUUAGAUUUUCUUUAAUUUCUCUCAGCAAUGUUUUUUAGUUUUCAGUGGAUAAAUCUUUCAAUUUUUUGGUUAAAUAUAUUCCUAGGUGUUUUACUCUUCUAAAUGUUGCAAACUGAACUAUUUUUUUUUUCUUUUUUAAAAAUUUCUUUGCUGGUAUAUGGAAACAACUGAUUUUUGGGUGUUGAUCUUGUUCCCUAUAACUUUGCUGAAUUUGUUAAUUAGCUGCAGUAUUUUUUUCUGUGAGUUAUAUGAUAUUUUCUGUAUACAGAAUCAUGUCACCUGCAAAUAGAAAUCAUUUUGCAUGUUCCUAAUUUAGAAGAUUUUUAUUUCUUUUUCUGGCCGAAUUGCUAAGUGUAGGAAUUCCAGUAAAAAGGUGAAUAGCAGGAGUGAAAGUGGGCAUCCUCAUCUUCUUCCUGAUCUUAGAAGAAAUGCUUUCAGCUUUUCAUCAUACAGGAUGAUAUUAGCUGUGAUUUUUCUUAUAAAUGCCCUUUGUGAUGUUAAGGAAGUUCCCUUCUAUUCCUAGUUUGCUGAGUGUUUUAAUUAUAAAAGGAUGUUGAGUUUUGUCAAAUUUUUUUUAGUAUCUAUUGAAAUGACCAUAUAUUAUUUUUCCCUUAGAUCUAUUAAUGCCAUGUAUUACAUUGAUUGACUGUCUUAAGUUGAACAAUCCUUGCAUUCCUGGGACAAGUCCCAUUUGGUCAUAAAGUAUAAAUACUUUUAAUGUGCUGCUGGAUUUGCUUGGUAGUAUUUUGUUGAAGAUUUUUGUAUCAAUAUUCAUAUGGGAUACUGGUCUGUAGCUUUCUUGUAGUAUCUUUGUCUGGGUUUGGUAUGAGAGUAAUGCUGGUCUCACAGAAUGUGUUAGGGAGUAUUUGCUUUUCUAGUUUUUGUAAGAGUUUCAGUAAAAGUGAUGAAAUUCUCCUUUCAUGAAAUUGUUGGUAGAAUUUCAUCAGUGCAGCCAUCUGGUCCCUGAGUUUUCUUUUUCAGGAGGUUUUCAAUUACUGAUUCAAUCUCUUUACUUGUUACAGGUAGGUUGACAUUGUCUAUUUCCUCUUGGGUCAGUUUUGUAUUGUGUGUGUUUCUAGGGAACACUUUUUUUUUUUUUUGAGACAAGAGUCUUGCUCUGUUGUCCAGGCUGGAGUGCAAUGGUGUGAUCUUGGCUCACUGCAACCUUUACCUCCUGUGUUCAAGUGAUUCUCCUGUCUCAGUCUCCCAAGUAGCUGGGAUUACAGGCAUGCAUCACCACACCCAGCUAAUUUUUGUAUUUUUAGUAGAGACAGGGUUUCACCAUGUUGGCCAGGCCGAUCUCAAACUCCUGACCUUAGGUGAUCUGCGCCUGCCUCAGCCUCCCAAAGUGCUGGGAUUACAGGCACAUCUUUGAUUCAUCUAGAUUAUCUUUUUUUUUUUUUUUUUGAGAUGGAGACUCACUCUGUCACCCAGGCUGGAAUGCAGUGGUAUGAUGUCAGCUCACUGCAACCUCUGCCUCCUGGGUUCAAGUGGUUCUCCUCCUCAGCCUCCCAAGUAGCUGGGAUUAUAGGCAUACACCACCACACCCAGCUAAUUUUUGUAUUUUUAGUAGAGGUGGUGCUUCGUCAUGUUGGCCAGGCUAGUCUCAAACUCCUGACCUCAGGUGAUCUGCCUACCUCAGCCUCCCAAAGUGCUGGGAUUACAAGCAUGAGCCACUGUGCCUUUUUUUUUUUUUUUUUUUUGAGACAGGGUCUUGCUCUACCACACAGGCUGGAGUGCAGUGGCACAAUCAUGGCUCACUGCAGCCUUGAACUCCUGGGCUUAAGCCUCCUGAGUAGCUAGGACUACGGGUGCAUGCCACCACACAUGGCUAAUUUUUUUGUAGAGACAAGGACUCACUGUGUUGCCUAGGCUGAUCUCAAACUCCUGGCCUCAAGCAUUCUUCAUGCUUUGGCCUCUCAAAGUGUUGGGAUUACAGGUGUGAGCCACUGUGCCUGGCCUAGAUUGUCUAAUUUGUUGAUAUGCAGUUGUUUAUAGUAUUAUCAAUCCUUUUAACUUCUAUAAGGUCAGCAGCAAAGUCCCAUUGUUCAUUUCUGAUUUUAGUUAUUUGCCUUUUCCCUUUUUUUUUAAACACUCAGUCUAGCUAAUAGAUUGUCAAUUUUGUUGAUCUUUUCAAAGAACCAACUUUUGAUUUCUAUGAUGAUUAUUUUUCUCUAUUUCAUUUAUCUCUGCUGAAAUCUUUAUUAUUUCCAUCCUCCUGCUGGCUUUGAGUUUAGUCUGGUCUUCUUUUCAAGUUCCUUAUGGUAUAAAAUUAGGUUGCUGAUUUGAGAUCGUUGUUUUUUUUUAACAUUGCAUUUACAGCCAUAAAGUCCCUCUGAGUACUGCUUUUGCUUCAUCCAAUAUGUUUGGUUUUGUUUGUGUUUUGUUUUUAGUUAUCUCAAGAUAUUGUUUAGUUUUGUGAUAUAUGUCUUAUCUUCCUUAAGUUAACCAUUCAUGCAAAGUAGUGGCUGGAUUACCUAAAUACUCAGAGAGUAUAUAAAAUAUAUGAAUAGUUUUGUAUCUGCUUGCUAAUGAAUGUUUAUUUCAUUAAUGUCUUUAUUUGCACAGAAUUUGGUUAGAGAUUUUCUUUUAUGUUUACUGGCAGUAAGGAAAGUAGUUACCAAUGUUUGGUAACUGUUACAUUCUUUAAUGGCUACAGUUAUUGCCAAAAGAACCUAAGACUUAUAUAUAAUUAACUUGACUUAGGUUAGUCCCCAACACUCCCAAAUGUAUAAUUCCAGCAUAGACUGCCAGUCUCUGAACUCUAGGCUCUCAUAUCAAACUAAAUGCUAAACAUCAAUAUUUUCAUGUCUAACACAUAUUACCAAGUUAAUAUAUUCAAAACAUAAUCCCCAGGCCUGGGUGUGGUGGCUCACACCUGUAAUCCCAGCAUUUUGGGAGGCUGAGGCGGGUGGAUCACCUGAGGUCAGGAGUUUGAGACCAGCCAGGCCAACACGGCAAAACCCUGUCUCUACUAAAAGGUACAAAAAAAUUAGCCAGGCGUGGUGGCGCAUGCCUGUAGUCCCAACUACUCGGGAGGCUGUGGCAGGAAAAUCGCUUGAACCUGGGAGGCGCAGGUUGCAGUGAGCCAUGAUCGUGCCACUGCACUCUAGCCUGGCCAACAGAGUGAGACACCAUUUCAAAACAAAACAACAACCAAAAAACCCCCCAUAAUCCCUGAUUUUAUUCCCCCUACCUGCUCUCCAUCUCAGUUAUGGCCAUUCCAACUUUCCACUUAGUCAUGCCAGUAACCCUAUAGUUAUAGUUACAGGCCUCUCUUUUUCUUAUACCCUAUAUUCAAUCUGCCAAGAAAUUGAAUAAAUAUCCACAAUUUAAAAUAUAUACAAACUCUAGACACUAAUUUCUAUUUCCACUGCUACCACCUUGGUCCAAGCCACCACCAACUUUUGCCUGAAUUAUUCUUAUUAUUUACCCCAAAUAGGUAUGUUCCUAAACUGAAGUAUUUUAAUAGCUUCUAGUUGGUCUCAUUGCUUUAACUGUUGUUCCUUCUAGUCUGCAGUUUCACUCAGAUUACAGUCUUGUCCUAUGUCCUACUUAGUGUACACUCUCCACUUCCCAUUUAACUGUGUCUUCAUUUUCUACUCUGUAACCUCCCUCUUUCAUUCUGCUGCAACUUACUGGCCUCUUCACUGUUCCUUGGAAAAUCUAGGAGUGCUUAUAUAUUAGGGCCUUUGCACUGGCUUUCUUCUUUGCCUGGAAUAGCCUUCCAAAGAUAACUACAUGUCUAACUCCCUUACCUCCUUCAAAUCCUUGUUCAAAUGAUAUGUUCUCAGAGAGGCUUGCUCUGAUAAUCCUACAUACAAUCAAAGACCCUCUUGCCCAGCAAUCCCAAUCCCUUUUACUCUGCUUUAUUCCCUCUUCCUCCCACCCACAGUACGUUAACACUGCCUAACACUAGAUAGUAUUAAAUAACUUACUUAGUAUGCCUAUUGUCUGUCUUCCCCCACUAGAAUGCAAUCUCUAUGAGGGCUGAGAUUUGAGUCUGUUUUAUUCACUUCUGUAUUCUAAGACCCUAGAACAGGCCUAGCAUAUAUUAGCCACUCAAUAUAUUUUUGUUAAAUUAAUAAAUAAUUGAAAGAAAAUUUAAUCCUCCAAAUG